GCUGAGCUGAGGACCCAUCCUGCCCCACCCUCAGGGCUGUCUCCUCCCCAGGUCCAGACGCUGGGCUCAAGGAUGGCCUCCUUCCAGUGGGCUCCCCCUCAGCUCCCCAAUGGUGUCAUUCACAGCUAUGAACUGCAGCUGCACCGGGCUUGCCCUCCGGAUUCAGCCCCACAUUGCCCUCCCAGUCCCACGGAGAGGAAGUACUGGGGCCCUGGGCACAGAGCCAGCCUGGCAGGGCUUCAGCCUAAUACGGCCUACGGGGUGCAAGUGGUGGCCCACAAUGAAGCGGGCAGCACGGCUUCCGGGUGGACCAGCUUCCGCACCAAGAAGGAAA
rnacentral:lncRNA from 1 species